CACGUAGGGUGCGAGCGUUGUCCGGAAUUAUUGGGCGUAAAGAGCGUGUAGGCGGCCAGAUAGGUCAGCUGUGAAAACUCGAGGCUCAACCUCGAGACGUCGGUUGAAACCAUCUGGCUAGAGUCCGGAAGAGGAGAGUGGAAUUCCCGGUGUAGCGGUGAAAUGCGCAGAUAUCGGGAAGAACACCCGUGGCGAAGGCGGCUCUCUGGGACGGUACUGACGCUGAGACGCGAAAGCGUGGGGAGCGAACAGG
rnacentral:rRNA from 1 species